rnacentral:misc_RNA from 1 species
AAGUGACUAAUAAUCAAAUAAAAUAGCUAUGAAAUUAAUCCUAAAUGAUUAUGCAAAAUGUAUACAUCACAAGUCCACUACAAGGGCUACCAAAUCAAUAACAGGACUCCUAAUGACCAACAGCAAAGAAAUAGAAUGCCCGGGAAAAAAUUGCAAAAGGGAAGAAACCAGAUACUGAAUAUGGUGACCCCAAAGCAGAACCAGAACAAGGAUGCACCAUAGAGCCCAAAACCAUUAGAACCAGAUCACCAACUGAAAAAAAAGAACCCAGCGGCACCCCAAGGCUUCCAAGCAAAAUCAGAUGAAAGCAAUAUGAUCAGAAUCUCGAAACAACAGAGUUGGCUUCCCUUAGAGUGUGAAUGAAAACCACAUGAGGAAGGCUGCGCAAAGAAGCUGCAAUAAUGGAGUUGAUAAUAGAGGUGGCUCUCCAUGGUGCUGAAUUAAGGUUCUUAACCCAGGAGAUAGCAAUUUUUGAAUUCGAUUCAACAAUAAUUUCAUCAAAACUGUUGACACAUCGGAUGUUGGUAGACAAACCCAAAGCUUUAGAAAUUGCUUUUAAUUACUAAUUUUACUUCAUUGAUUCCUAUUGAACAUGGCGUUCAAUAUUUUCUUUAAAUGCAAAAUUAAUAGCCUUUUGGAAAUAUAAUUCAACAAACAAUGUGUUGUCACAUCUACAAGAAUCACCAUUAUUGGCAGUCCCAUAUAAUUUUUCAGAAAUUAACAUAACUGUAAAUAACCUUAUUUUAAGCCACUUUAUUAAUUAAGCUUCUUAUAUACAUUAUAUUUUUUUUCUUAAAAGUAAGCAUGCAAGAGACAAGUAAAAUAAGAAGGUGGCCAACUAGCUAGCAAGUAUCAGCUACUUAAUUAUGCAAACUAAGCAUGCUUAAGCUUGCACAGAAAAGUGCUUUUGUGCAAACUUCAAAAGGUUGUCCAAUUCAUCUUCAUCGAUGAAUCCAUUGCGGUUGGUGUCUGCAGAGUGCACUUGCAACCAUGCCUGCAACUUCGCAAACCAUACUCCAUCCAGCCCAUGGAUAGCAUUCUCAAACUCUUUUCUGCUUAUCCUACCGUCUUUAUCAGCAUCAAAUGUUUUUAACCACUUCUUAAAAUCCUCCAUAGUCCUGAUUGGAACUGGAGACAAACCCUUGUGCAGGACCUGGAUUGCCAUGAUAGCCAGCGACUAACGUUAAUUAUUCUCAGAAAGCUUAUGUAUAUCUUGCUACUUUCUUUCUCUAUAGUUU